rnacentral:rRNA from 1 species
CAUCGAAUUAAACCACAUGUACCUCCGCUUGUGCGGGCCCCCGUCAAUUCCUUUGAGUUUCACCGUUGCCGGCGUACUCCCCAGGUGGAAUACUUAACGCUUUCGCUUGGCCGCUUACUGUAUAUCGCAAACAGCGAGUAUUCAUCGUUUACUGUGUGGACUACCAGGGUAUCUAAUCCUGUUUGAUACCCACACUUUCGAGCAUCAGCGUCA